rnacentral:rRNA from 1 species
GUGCCAGCAGCCGCGGUAAUACGUAGGGUGCAAGCGUUACUCGGAAUUACUGGGCGUAAAGCGUGCGCAGGCGGUUUCUCAAGUCAGCUGUGAAAGCCCCGGGCUUAACCUGGGAAUUGCGGUUGAAACUAGGAAACUUGAGUUUGGGAGAGGGAAGUAGAAUUCCAUGUGUAGCAGUGAAAUGCGUAGAUAUAUGGAGGAAUACCGAUGGCGAAGGCAGCUUCCUGGCCCAAAACUGACGCUCAUGCACGAAAGCGUGGGGAGCAAACAGGAUUAGAUACCCUGGUAGUCC